CCUCAAGCGCAUCUCGACGAUCCAGUGCACCGCCGCGGUCGGCGCCCACCCCUCUGCCGCGCGUCACCACCGCCGGCCACCUCCCCUCUCCCGUGCGCUGCCCCCCUCCGCCACCAUCAUCGGCCACUGGCCCUCCGCCGUGCGCUGCCCCCACCCCUUCGGCUUCAGUGGAUCCGCACCGCCGCUGCCCUUCCUCUCCACCGUUCACCAGCGCCUGCCCGCGCUCAUCCAUCGCCGCGUUAAGGCUUCAGUGACCACGGCGCCUUGGCUGUGACCCAGGUCUGCUUGGCCGCCGGAUGGAUGGAUACCGGCCGUGCUCAUCCUUGGCGCCCCGGCUGCGACCCAUGGUUGAUUGGCCGCCGGCUGGAAGGGGACGUCUCCUCCUAACUAAGCUUGAUGUGGGACUGACAGCCUGGUGUUUGAGGCAGGACCGCAUGAGUAGUGACUUGCAUCCAGUAGGAGGAAGCAAGAAGUAGCAACGACUCUGAGCUAGUUGCUAGCAAUGCACCCCCUCCCCUCUCAUCUGGGUACAUGGAUUUUCAACGGCCAAACUACUCUCUUGAUUCUUUCUUUAGCGUUUUAGUUUUCACUAACAAUCCAUAGUUGGUAAACCAUGAACUCUAUUCAGGAGCAUCCGCCAACAACCUGUUUGAUGUUAUGCAUACGAUGGAUUGAGAUUCAGUCUAAUUUUCAUGUCAAACUCUUACCUCUGUUUAGAAAAUCAAUAUGAAGAAACAGGUGUAUCUGAUGUACGAUCUGCACUUAAGAACAAGUGUACCAGUUGUUCCAAGCUGCCGGACGGCCAAAGAGUCGGUGAGGGUCCACAAUCCAUUUGAUUUCGUGGGGAUUAUUCAGUAAAAUGCGAUCUACACUGAAGCCAAUCCGAUCCAGGUGAAACAGAGGUUGGUAGAUUAUUCCGGCAAUGGGGCUUCUGCUUGUGCGGCUCUGCAUGUAUGUUUUCAACUUGCAAAUGGCCUGACUUUAUCAAUUAUUGCUUGAUGAAAGACCAACCAGUUUAUGCCUGACAUUUGUGUCUCUACAUUAUGCGCGAGGCCCAGACCGAGCGUUCAAAGUAGGAAAACAAACUCGGCGUGGCGGCCGCUCCCCAUCUCCCUGCGUCAUCCAGAUUUGUUUCGGCUGGGUGCCACCCCGGCGGCUAAGAGUGUGCUGUCCCACGGAAGCAGGCCCCUCCUCUGUACUUCUACAACAUAUCCAGUUAUGGUUCCAUUGUUAUCGCGCACCAAACGUUCAAUGAAUUUCUUGAAGAAAAUGAAUGGAUUCUUUUGUUGUGUGCAUCAACCAGGUAAAAUCCUAUUGGUUGUUAUAAUUAUACAAUCUUCUGAGCCAGCGAGCAGAAGUAAUUGCUGAUGUAAGUGUGGCAACUAAUUUUGUUUACAACUGUCAUUACUAAUUCUAUUAAAUCUGAAUUUCAUGGUGAAGCACGGUUGGAAAAGAAAAGUCAUGGAUAAAGCUUAGUGGUUCCUAGUGAAGAGUUUCUGCUAAUCCAUCAACUAAUGCUAAUGUAAGCAUUACAUCCUGUGAAGAUAUUUAUUCUAUGAGUCCUGCAGCUUUUUGUUGUUGUUGAAGCUAGCUAUGUGAUGCCCUUUCUGUUUCAUGUGAUUUGAUGCAUAGAUAGACAGAUUCUAUGUAGUCAGGACUUGGUACUUGGACCUUCAUAAGAUGGCGCAAGGGGAGCUAUGGGGAUAGAUUGACAACAAUAUUUGCAAGCAGGAAAUUAAAGUACAAAAACUACUUCGUAUCGCCUUGGCUAUAAGAGCGCCUGGACUCCCACAGCCGAAACCUCUAUUCAAUUGCUUUCCAUGCUUGACAUUGUUGUCGCCGUUUUGCCGACUUUGGCAGAAUCUCGCCGUUCGACUUUGCCAGAAUUCUGUCUGCCUGUUCUCCACCCAUGGUACAUGGUUCAGUGCCUUCUGUAGAUUGAUGUUCUAUUCUCCACCCAUGGUACAGAAACUACUUCGUAUCGCCUUGGCUAUAGAAUUAUCUGCUAUUUUCCUAUAAUUUCGCCAUCAAAAGAUGUUCUAUUUGUUUGGUUACUAGCUGUUCUGGUUGUGCCCAUCGAUCAUCAUAGCCAAUUGGUUUCCUGUAAAUGCAAGCUUCCUCUUUUACAUGAUUACCAAAAUACCUCCAUCAUGAAGAACAAAGACUAUUUGUGAUUUUUUUGUAUUAUCUUUCAGUUGCUUGUUGUGACCUAAAGAAUUGACAGGCAUUCAUAUGUACCAGUCAGUCCUGUAUGUUGAUACAUGACAGGUGUAUGGGCAUGAGUCAAUUGGUCGCACCAGUAGUUAGGAAGUCUUGUGCAAAGUUUUCAAACAAAAGAUUAUUAUUAAUGAUUACUGGAACACCUUCUCUAUUAUUGCUCUUGAUUUUAGUAUUAUCCGAUUACUGGAUCAUUAAAUCAGUCUUGUAUGUUGGCAUAGCCUCAAGCAAGCCUCUGUAUUUUGCCAUUAUUAGGAGUAGGUGAGGCUCAAGCGACUAAUUUGGUUUCCUGUGAACUCAAGUUUUAUAUUUCAUGAUUAUCAAAAAUUUGACUAGAUCAAUUUUUUCUCUGCAAUUGUUCCUUGUGUAUGCGCAGAUGUAGAUGCUAUUUUUUUACAGUUUUAGAACACCUAUGCAUGCCAAUGUGACAAUGUUUCUCCAUUGAUCCAUCCAUGCGCAAACUGACAAUUUUGUUACUCUGUUCAGGUUGCAAUCACGACGAGCAACAAAUGUAUGCACUGAACUACUGGAGUAAGGUAGUGAAAUACUUCUUGCUUGCGUGAGUGGAAUUUUCGAACAGAGGAAGAACAUACAACUGAGUGUAUGCACUACAGGUAUGCUAUUACUUAAAGCCUUAUUGCUUUGCAAUGGAAGAGUACAUUUCCUUGCAUAUAUAACAUACAAAUGGACUUCAGACUGAGUAUUUCUUCUAGCAGCUUAUAGCUCAUCUUUGCAAUUUUGUUGUCUCUGAAGCAUGAAGGUAAAAGGCAAUAAAUCGCUUUCUUUUAAAUUGGUUCCAUUCUGAAUAUAAAUUAGCAUAUCCAGGCCCUAGACCACGUACAUAUGCAUAAGUAACAGGUGGCUCUUUUCUCAUAUUUUUAGUUAAUCAUUUUUUUACAUAUUACAUGUUUAUAGGAAUGGCACAAUAUUCUCAUGGCGGAAUGGGGAUGGGGCACUAUGUGACCCAACAACUGUUCUACCAGCAGGGUUGAUGGCAUUCUAUGGCAAUACCAAGAAUCCAAACAUCAUCCCCGAAGUGAUCCGUGGUGCUCAGUGAUACACUUCAAUGGAAACAUGAAGCUGUGGCUUGGUGUCGCUCUCAACCAGUAGAGGGCUAUAUGGACUAAGCAUGUAUAGACUAGAAUGGAAUUCUUGACACUGUAACUUUGCUUUCUGAAGUAAUUUAAGAAAUCGUCCAAGAAUAAGUCAUCUGCCAAUAUAUUUAUUGUGGGAAAAUGAGUGAACUAUUAUUUUUAUUUGUUAUGGAUGAACAUAUGUGUACUAUUUGUAGCAAACAUCUCUCCAACUGGAAGGAAAAUAUUGGUGUUUGCUCCA